CAGAGCACUCCUACGGGAGGCAGCAGUGGGGAAUAUUGCGCAAGUGGGCGGAAGCCUGACGCAGCGACGCCGCGUGGGGAUGACGGCCUUCGGGUGUAAACCUCUUCGCCAGGGACGAAGCUUUGUGACGGUACCUGGAGAAGAAGCACCGGCCAACUACGUGCCAGCAGCCGCGGUAACACGUAGGGUGCGAGCGUUGUCCGGAAUUAUUGGGCGUAAAGAGCUCGUAGGCGGUGUGUCGCGUCGGCCGUGAAAACUUGGGGCUUAACUCUGAGCGUGCGGUCGAUACGGGCAUCACUUGAGUUCGGCAGGGGAGACUGGAAUUCCUGGUGUAGCGGUGAAAUGCGCAGAUAUCAGGAGGAACACCGGUGGCGAAGGCGGGUCUCUGGGCCGAUACUAACGCUGAGGAGCGAAAGCAUGGGGAGCGAACAGGAUUAGCUACCCUGGUAG
rnacentral:rRNA from 1 species